CAGGGGCCUGGCCAUCGGCCACAUGUCUCUUUGGCGUGUGGAUAGGCGGCACCUGAAAACAUCUCUAUCAGUCAGAGCCCCGGCAGGAAACAGAUGGCACGCUCCCAGAGGAUAAUUCAGCUCAGGUGGUGGCAGCAGGGAAGGAGGUGCGCUUGGAGCCAGGCAGCCCCGGAGGCACCACUUUCCAGCUGGGGGUCACUCAACUUUCAGGAAGCCCAGGGUCCUCCUCUGGCAGUGGUGACGGCCCCGGCCUCCAGGAGCGGCCGCAAGGAUUCAGAGCUGAUAAGGCUCAGGGAGCACUGACGGGGGAGCACUUCCUGUGUGCCAGGCCCAGGACUCAGCGCUGUGGUGCCCCGACCCCUGGAAAUCUCACAGCAGCCUGACUGACAGCUCGGGUCGUGUUGUGUAAGCUGGCUUCGGUGCCUGACGAGAAUCCCAACGCCACCACCUCCUUGGGCCACUCAUCUGACCUCACCAGGCCUCUGUUUCCUAUCUGCAAAAUGGGAACACUGAGUUCACAGGGCUGUGAGUCCCACAUGAACCGCCUUGGCCAGGGCCUGCUCCCUGCAAGGUCCUUUGGUGGGCUGUUAGGGUGAUUGUUGUCAUCUGCCCCCUGGGGGCUGCCAGAUGCAUCCCACCAGCCAGCCCUGGAGAGGGUGGGAUGGGAG
rnacentral:lncRNA from 1 species